AGAUUUGGGAAUCAUUCAGAUCUCGUGGAAAAGAAGAUCUCUGGCUCCAUCCCACAAAUCCGAGGAUUGGGAGUCAGACGGGAUCCCGAGGAUUUGCCAGGGGCUUUGUGAAGCCGGGAUGAUUUAAUUAAUUAACAACAAUUAAGAGGCGGAGAGGGGGACCUGGGGGCGGCCGCUUCGGGGUCGAGGUCACCCCGUGUCCCCCGCCCGGAAUUCCAGAGGGGCUGGGGACAUCCCAGCCUUUGGAAUGAUCCCAUGGGACGGUUCCUUGUUUUUCCGCGGCUCCCGGCAGACAAUGGGGCCGGAGGGAGCAGCCCCGAGGUCUCGGAUCCGACUCCAUUCGGGAUUUGGGAUCAGCUUUCCAAGCGGAGCUUUUAUGGAUGGAUUGUCCCGCCGGGAUGCUCGGGAAGAGGAUCCUGGGAAGGGAUUUGGGAAUUCUCGGCUCGCAAUUCCGGCCCCAAAUCCGAGGAGUCUCAGCCCUGCAGGAUCCCUGGAUGUGGAUGGAAACAUCCCAGCGUUCCUGGAUCCCGCCCGGAUCCCGUCCCUGCGCCGCUUUUCCGGGAUCCUGGACANNNNNNNNNNNNNNNNNNNNNNNNNNNNNNNNNNNNNNNNNNNNNNNNNNNNNNNNNNNNNNNNNNNNNNNNNNNNNNNNNNNNNNNNNNNNNNNNNNNNAAACCCUGUGGAGCCACCUGGAAGCGGCUUUGGGGUGUCCUUGGGAUUGUUGGAAGGGACGAGGAGAUGGGAUUUGGGAUUUCUCCAGGGAAUCCUGAGCGCUCCCCCAGGAAUUUGGGAUGGGGGGAUUUUGGGGAGGGGGGGGGUGGGAAUUCCAGAAUCCCCAGGAAUUUUUUUUGAUGGGAAUUUGGGAUUCCGGGAUCCUCCAGCCCUGGGAUUCGGUUUUCCAGGUGCUGCAGGAUUUCCAGGUCGGAUCCUCAUGGAAAAAGGGGCUGGGAAGGAAAGUGGGAAAUUCCAUGGAUGGGAACGGGGCUGGAGCCGCUGGAAAAGGGAACGGAGGAUCCUGAAGGACCUGGGGGUGAUCCCAGAGAAAAGGGGGAUCCAGGGGGGGAUUUGGGAUCUGAUCCCAGGGGGGAUUUGGGAUCUGAUCCCAGGGGGGGAUUUGGGAUCUGAUCCCAGGGGAGAUUUGGGAUCUGAUCCCAGGGAAUGGGAACAGGUGUGCCAGGGUGGGAAAUUUGGGAUGAUUUUUCCAUGGGAAAAGGGUUGGGAAGUGCCGGAAGGGGCCCGGGCAGGGCUGGAUCUCAUCCCUGGAGGGAAUUCCUGGAAUUCGGAUGUUGAUCCAUCCCAGCUCGGACUUGGUGACCUCGGAGAUCUUUCCCAGCCUGACAAUCCCAGGAUUCUCACUCCCUUUGGAAGCACAUCCCAGAUUCCCGGUUGGAUCCCAGAGCUGGAUUCUCCUGGCAAAGGAGCCUUGGGAUGCUCCCACCCUUCCCCGAUUGCCAAUUCCUCGAGGAUGGAAUCCCAGAUCCUUCAUCCGCCGGAUUCUCCAAGUGGGAUUUUUCCCAGGAAAAUUCAUUCCCAGCUUUCCCAGAACCCCGGAUCGUGAAGGAGUGGAUUUUCCUCUUGGAAUUCUCCCUCUGGAGCCAUUGGGAAGAAGAUUUUUCCUCUGGAAACGCUUGGAUCUAUUUUUUAUUUUUAAUUUUUUUCACUCUUUGGGGAAUAUUUGAAUCCCAAACAUUGGAUUUGAGGUGCAGGACUUUGAUCCCGGGAAAAAUUCCAGCCUGGACUUGAAGAAGUUGGGAAUGGCGAAGCCUCUCCAGCCCUGGGGGGAUUUUUUGGGAGCUUUGAUCGUCCCAGGAUUAAAAAAUGGGAAUUUUCCUCCUCCUCUUUUGCAUCCUGCUCUGGCUCCCGGCGUCUCCCAGAGUCCGGGAAUCCAUUCCCGACUUUUCCAGGGCUGUGGAACCGGCUCUGCUGGAAAAGAUUCCAAGAAAAAUCCCUUUUUUUUUUUUUGCUGCUGGAAUGAGAGGAUGAGGAGCUCCCGGAUUCCUGCUGGGAUUCCCAAAUUCCCUUUGGAAAACUGCUGGGAUGGGGAUAACACCUGACAAACUCCUGGAUUCCUGGAAAAUCCCAAAUUUAUUUUGUCUGGAUCCACAAGCUGGGCCCAAGAGACCUCGGAAUACCUGGAAAAUCCCGGGAUUCAUGGAAAACCCCAGGAUUUCUGGAAAAUCCCAAGUUCACUUCAGCUGGAGGCGCUGGGAUUUCUGGAAAACUCAGGGAUUCCUGGAGAAUCCCAAAUUUAUCCCAGCUGAUCAUGCAGGAUGAUGAUUCCCAAAAAUUUUGGGAUGCCUGGGGUGGGGUGUCCAAUCGCGUCUCCAUGGUGUUCCAAGGAAUCCCCAAGCGCCGGGAUUCGGGAAUUGGUGGAGUUUGGGAAUUGGAUUUGGGAAUUGGAUUGGGAAUUGGCAGGAUUUGGGAAUUGGCAGCGUUCGGGAAUUGGCGAGAUUUGGGAAUUGGAUUUGGGAAUUGGAUUGGGGAACUGGAUUUGGGAAUUGGNNNNNNNNNNGGAAUUGGAUUUGGGAAUUGGAUUGGGGAACUGGAUUUGGGAAUUG
rnacentral:lncRNA from 1 species